UGUAAGCGUAUACCAAAGUUGUUGCAGUUAAAACGCUCGUAGUCGGACUUUGGCAGUUCCGGAUGUGUGCACGUCGUGUGCGCACUUCGCGGGGAUUGCUUUUGUGGUCUUGCGUAGGAUGAGGCACUUUUAUUAGUGAACGUCCUCACGCAACCACUUUUUACUGUGAGAAAAUCAGAGUGCUCAAAGCAGGCAUUUGCCGUGAAUGUAUUAGCAUGGAAUAAUAGAAUAGGACUUGGUUCUAUUUUGUUGGUUUGUUGGGACUGAGUAAUGAUUAAGAGGGACAGUUGGGGGCAUUUGUAUUUCGGUGCUAGAGGUGAAAUUCUUAGAUUACCGAAAGACAAACUACUGCGAAAGCGUCUGCCAAGGAUGUUUUCAUUGA
rnacentral:rRNA from 1 species